CCUACGGGUGGCAGCAGUGGGGAAUAUUGCACAAUGGGGGGAACCCUGACGCAGCGACGCCGCGUGGGUGAAGGAGGCUUUCGGUAUGUAAAGCCCUAUCAGCAGGGAAGAACUAUGACGGUACCCGAAUAAGAAGCACCGGCUAAAUACGUGCCAGCAGCCGCGGUAAUACGUAUGGUGCAAGCGUUAUCCGGAUUUAUUGGGUGUAAAGGGAGUGUAGGCGGGGAGGUAAGCCAGGUGUGAAAUCCGGCGGCGCAACCGCGGGACGGCAUUGGGAACUGGGGGGCUGGAGUGACGGAGAGGGAGGCGGAAUUCCUGGUGUAGCGGUGAAAUGCGUAGAUAUUAGGAGGAACACCAGUGGCGAAGGCGGCCUACUGGACAUUAACUGACGCUGAGGCUCGAAAGCGUGGGGAGCAAACAGGAUUAGAUACCCUAGUAGUC
rnacentral:rRNA from 1 species